rnacentral:rRNA from 1 species
GACGAACGCUGGCGGCGUGCUUAACACAUGCAAGUCGAACGGAAAGGCCCUGCUUUUGUGGGGUGCUCGAGUGGCGAACGGGUGAGUAACACGUGAGUAACCUGCCCUUGACUUUGGGAUAACUUCAGGAAACUGGGGCUAAUACCGGAUAGGAGCUCCUGCUGCAUGGUGGGGGUUGGAAAGUUUUUUCGGUGUAGGAUGAGCUCGCGGCCUAUCAGCUUGUUGGUGGGGUAAUGGCCUACCAAGGCGGCGACGGGUAGCCGGCCUGAGAGGGUGGACGGCCACAUUGGGACUGAGAGACGGCCCAGACUCCUACGGGAGGCAGCAGUGGGGAAUAUUGCACAAUGGGCGCAAGCCUGAUGCAGCGACGCCGCGUGGGGGAUGACGGCCUUCGGGUUGUAAACUACUUUCGCUAGGGACGAAGCUUUUUGUGACGGUACCUAGAUAAGAAGCACCGGCUAACUACGUG